UACGGAGGGAGCUAGCGUUGUUCGGAAUUACUGGGCGUAAAGCGCACGUAGGCGGCUUUGUAAGUUAGAGGUGAAAGCCCGGGGCUCAACUCCGGAACUGCCUUUAAGACUGCAUCGCUUGAAUCCAGGAGAGGUGAGUGGAAUUCCGAGUGUAGAGGUGAAAUUCGUAGAUAUUCGGAAGAACACCAGUGGCGAAGGCGACUUACUGGACGAUUGUUGACGCUGAGGUGCGAAAGCGUGGGGAGCAAACAGG
rnacentral:rRNA from 1 species